AUAGAUAUUAACACAUCUAUCUAAUUAAACACUAGGUAUCCGUAGUGCUUAAAACAGUGCCUAGAACAUAGUAAAUACUCAAUAAACAUUCUAAAAUAAGUGAAAGAAAAAUGAAUUAACAAGCUUCAGAAAAGUACUGGUUGUAUGAUGGCCAGUCAUUUUCUUUCUCAUUCCUACAACUGACAUUAACCUGAAAAAGGUUAGUAAGCAUUAAUCUGCAUGAACCUUGCUGUAUUUAUAGCCUCAUUAAGGAAAAAUUGUUUUAUGGAGUCUUUCCUACAAUAUUUGGUAAUGUUCCCACCUCCCCACCCCCAGCCUCUUGCUUCCUUUACUCAGCCUCUUUCCUGGAAGUGAUUGCCACCUAGAAGUCCUGACAUGUGCCCCACCUAAUGGAGCCCACCUAGAGACAUCUCAGCAAGGCUUGCUUUGGGGUGGGGCGGGGGUUGGAAUUAAGCAAGGAAGGUUUUCCAGUAUAUAGCUACUACCCACUAUCUAGUGCAUAGUCCCACUUUGUGCUUUAUUUCUUUGCCUGGGUGAUGGACCAGUUUCAAAAAGGUAUGAGGCAGUGAAUAAAAAAUGCAUUGGAUUAAUUUUUUUCAUUUAGUAAUUACAGCACUGCAGCAAACAGAGUUGGGUCUGAGUGAAUGUUGACAUCUAAUUUUCAGGUUUUGAAUUGCUUGGAGAAAAGCAGAUCUCUCUGUUUUUAUCUAACUUUUCACUGUGAGGUAAUUAUGCAGAACAGAGUAUGUUCCUGGGCAAUGUUUAACACAGGCAGGUCAUAACAAGACAGAAAGUGGACCUGUGCUUUUAGGAUAGGAAUAAUUAAAGGCUCAUAAUUUUGGAGGAGCAGUGAUGAUGUCAUUUAAUAGACACUUAUAGGGAAUUGCAUGCUUGAAAGGCAUGUGUUUUACUAUUUUAGAUCAUCCAUAAACCAUCAACAUAAUUUGGAAGCAAAGCCUCUUUUUGUAACUCCUUGUCUCAUUGUUGGGGGUGCAUUCUAUUUCCAUUAGCAAGAUUGUACUUUAUGGGCAUUCCGUUUAUUUUGUUUAUUUGCAGAUGUAUACAUGCAUAUAUGUCAGUAUGUUGUUUUCUCUCAGGUUCCAAGUGAACCAAGAAAUUGGGAAAAUGGGAAUAUAAAUGGAAACUAGCAUGGGAUCGGAAUUUUAGGGGUGCAAGAGAGUUUAAAAUCAUAUUUUCAUUCCUUUUUUAUAUAUUGCAAAUAGCCAAAAUGCACAGUCUUCUCCCUCAGUGACUGCCAUCACUGAAGAUAACUAGCCACAGUUCAAGGAUCCUCAGGGUCACUCUCAUUUUAGACCAGCUGGUUAAAGUUCAGGGGUUCAUAUGACCAAACUCAUGUCUAGAAAUUUGCUAGAAUGACUCACAGAACUCUGCAAAGUGUUAUACUUAUGAUUGCAGCUUUUAUUAGAGUAAGAAAAAAUUAAGUUAGAACCACCUAAAGGAAGAAAUGUUUGGAGAGGAAUCUAGGAGAAUCUAGGAGAUUUCAAAAUGUCAAAUUUCCCUAGUCCUCAUGAUGCCGUCCCAGCAUCAAUGCAUGGCAAUACAUGGAGUAUUGCAGCCAAGGAAGUUCACUUGAGCUCUGGUGUCCAGAGUUUUUAUUGGGCUUUCAUUAUAUAGGCAUAAUUAAAUGAAUUAUUGCUUACAUAGUUGAACUCAUUCUGUGGCCUCCCACCUAUAUCCCCUGAGCAUCAACCCUUCAAUCACAUAACUGGUCAUUCUGGAGUUACUAGCUAUCACCGUGGGCCAUCUUCUUAGCAUAAACUAUCUAGGGACUCUCUUUGAGUCACCCUUGUUAUCAUAAAAACAGGUGUGGUUAAGGGGUCCACCAGCAAUAACAAAGACCCAUUUAUCACUUGGGAAAUUACAUGGGUUUAGAGGCUGUCUCCCAGGAGCUAUGAUAAUGGCUAGAUCUCUCUUUAGCUAAGAACAGAUACAAAGCAUACACUCACAGCCCAGGCUGCUAAUUUUGUUUAAAGAAGUUCAAAUACAUUAGAGGAAAGAACUGAAUAUCAGGAGAAUAUUUCCUGGCACCUUGUCCAGAAAUUUUUUCUUCACUACCCCAAAUGUUUACUGGAUAUGAAAUCUACUCUAUAUCAGCUGUUAUAGUAAAAAAUAUCUUGAAAAAAUACACAAUGUAUAGGGCAAUAGAGGGGCAGUUAUUGAGUUUAGACCUGAAGGUUUAAUUUACAUACCAUGACCUUCUUCAAGUGAGGGCAGGAAUUUCAUAAAUUAGGACAAAUUUCUUAUUAAGAUAAAGGGGAAAAAAGUAGAGAGGACGUUCUGUACAAUACUUAAGAACUUAAGAGGAAUAACCCAGGACUGCAUCUUUUGGUUGGAGAAUUGAAAAAAAGGAUGGUGGGGAAAAUUAGAGAAGUCCAUUGCUUUAAUGAAACUAGGAAGAUAUUGAGCAACAGUAGUUGAAGAUAAAACUAAAAAGUAACAUAUUCUGCUUAUCUAAUUAUUAAUAAAAUAAUCUAAAAAUAUACUAGAGUUGAGUAACUGGAUAGAAGACCCCAGAAUUAAAGAAUAGACAAUAAGAACUCUCUUCAUCUUGUGUUUUUUGUCCAUCUAAUGCAGGCAAUGGUUAUUCAUAAAAAUAGUUGCAAAAGAGUAAGAUAUCUUUUGUCUUCUUUUGACUUUUAUUUACAAGUAGGUUAGUAUAAAACAUAUGUGGAUGUGUGUGUAUCAAAUCCUAAACUUUGCAUAAGUAGAAAAGGGUAAGUAAGAAAAUAUGCAUGUAUCUGCUUGCUUUUAAUGGAGAAAUAUAGUAGACAACCCAAAUAACUAAAGGAACUCUUUAUAUCUAUAAGACAUUGGCAGGGACAGCAAAGUAGAAGGUGUAGAGGAGAAAGUGACUCUCUGUGUUUAAUUUUUUGUACAGUUUGGGCUUUAGGAAGUUUGCUAAUGUUCUGUAUAUUCAAAAAUUUAAAAAUCAAUAAGAAUAGGAAGAAGAAAACAGAAACAAUCCCAACCAUUUUUAGAUGAAAAGGACAGUCUCACUUAAGGGAAAAAUAACUUAUCAAAAUAUUUAAAUAUAAUUAUAUUCUUACCAAGAAAAAAUUUACAUUCAAUAAAUUCACCAUUUUAAGUGUAUACACCUAUCUUUUGAGUAGUACUUUGACUUCCCUCAAUCUAGGGGGUAAAAUUGCAAAUAAAUCUCAAACUCUAAUUUACCUUGUUGUUUAUUUUUGAUGUUGGUGUGGGUAUAACAAAUCUGAAAGUAAUUUGUGUGAAUUGCAGGAUUGAGAAAAUGAGUAAAUGUGGUGAUGUUGGUGAUAAAAGAGAAUAUGGACUGAGGGAAAGCAAGAACUUUUCAGGGUUAGAUUAGAAUUGGAGAUAUAAGUAGGAACACAUAUUUCCAUUGAAAGCACAAGAAGCAAUGACACUGCAGGAAUAAUGAGCACAUUUAAAAUAUAGAUGCUGGCUUCUGAAUGUCAUUCCUCAAUAAAAGAAACCAGGGCUAAUUCAAUACAUGGCUGAGUCCAAGACUGGGGAAGUCCAGGGAAGUAUAAGAAGAGCCUGAAAUAUCUUAAAAUUUAGAAAGUGCUCAAAAAAAAAAAAAAUAUAUGGAUACAUGUUAAAAGGAAAUAGGAGCCAGCUUGAAGGGGCUCUCGUAUGCAUCUGGAACAAUUUCCACAUCCAAAAUUAAGAAGUAUAAUGUAUUAUAACACAGUGAAUAAAAUAGAAAUCCAUGAAUGCAUACUGCUAAAUAAUAGGUAAACAAACAAUUAAAUGGGGAAGAAAGGAAGGCUCUCACUAAUUGAUACCAAUGAUCAUUGUGGAGAGAAUAGUGAAUCUGGGAAAACAUUAUUUGCAACCAUCAGAGAACAAAUUCUUCUAGGCAAGAAUUAUCAGUGGAUACUAAAUCUAGAGGAAAAAUUUGAUGAGAAACAGGAUAUUUGCAUAAUUCCCAACUGUUUCCCCACAGAUUACUAUUAGUUGCAAGGGAGAAAAUAGUUACCAUACAGUGGAAAAAAUGGACAACACUUUGACUUGAUCAAAAUUAAUAUCACCAAUGAGUGACAGAUGGACCAGGUGCCCUCAGAUAUAACACCCUAAAAAAAGCACAUCACGUCUGUAGUAUUCCAACCAGGCAAAUAUUACUUGAAUAUAAAUAAGAGGAAAUAGCAGGUAUGCCAACUAAAUGCAACAAAUAACCAUGAGCUGUUGGAUCUUAUACUGGAGGGAAAAAAAAUGCUAUAAAGGCCCUAACUGGGGUCAUUUAAUAAAAGUGGAAUACGUGGGCCAUAGAUUAGAUAAGCAUUGAAUUAUCAUUAGAAUUUUGUGAAUUUGCGAUACACACACACAUAUAUACGUUUAACGUGCAUAUAUAAUAUAUAUCAAUAUUAAAUUAUUUAAUUUAAUAAGAGGGAGAAAAAGGUGGCAAAGUAUUACAAAUGGGUAAAACCAGGAAACAGUAUACAGAAGUUCUCUGUAUUUAUUUUGCAACCUUUUUUUAAGUUUUAAAUUAUAUUAAAAAUUUUUUUUUAAAGAAUAGAAAGGCUAGGAGUUCUCCUGUGGUACAGCAGCUUAAGGAUCCAGCAUUGUCACUACAGUGGCUUGGUUUGCUGCCAUGGCAUGGGUUUGAUCCUUGGCCUGGGGAACUUCCACAUGCUGCAGGAACAACAACAACAAAAAGCCCCUUUAAAAUCUUCUCUUUUCAUAUUAGAUCAGCUCUCUUUCCUGGAUCCUGUCUCUUGAUUCCUUCUUUCCUUCUAGUGUAGUGUUCCCACAAGCAGUAGGUUCACUUCCCCAUCUGCUUCCCUUGCACUGUUAUAACCCAAAGGAGACCCCCAGAAGAGUAUAAGUGGGUAUGUGUAAAAUGCCUCAUAGGCGUGAGCAGGCUCCCAGGUCAUUCCUUCCUGGGACCCUUUUCUCUUUUAGCUCCAAACUCUAAAGUUUUCAUUCAAGGUGUGCAGGGACCCCCAUAUAAUAGGAAGUCACUUUAUGUCUUGUGUAGCUGUUAAAGAUUAACAAUCCUGACAAGCCAAAUUACACAUGGCCUCACAUUUGUGAUGCUGCCAGCAGCUAAGAGAACUUUGAGGGCAUCAUUUCAUUUAUUCUCCCAGGUAUUUGAGGGGCAUCCUUCAAAAGAAAGAACUGAUGCCUGGCUCCAUCAUGUAUGCUAUUCAUAGGCCCAGCAAAGCCUUCUCCUCAGGAAAGAAAUAUUCCACCUGUUUGAUAACAAAGUUUGGUUUUGAAAAACCCUUCUGAAGUUAUAAGAGAAAAUAAUAG
rnacentral:lncRNA from 1 species